UACGAAGGGGGCUAGCGUUGCUCGGAAUUACUGGGCGUAAAGCGCGCGCAGGCGGUCUUCCAAGUCAGUGGUGAAAGCCCGGAGCUCAACUCCAGAACUGCCUUUGAUACUGAAGAUCUUGAGUUCGGGAGAGGUGAGUGGAACUGCGAGUGUAGAGGUGAAAUUCGUAGAUAUUCGCAAAGAACACCAGUGGCGAAGGCGGCUCACCUGGCCCGAUACUGACGCUGAUGCACGAAAGCGUGGGGAGCAAACAGG
rnacentral:rRNA from 1 species